rnacentral:lncRNA from 1 species
UAAAGCACAAGUCAAUGAAUCUGGAUGAAUUCAUGGUUGGGUGAAUUUGAGUAAACAUUUAAAUAACUUAUUUUAAAUAAAAAAAUAGACUAUUAAUAAUAAUAAUGAUAAGAAAAUAUUUUAAUUUUAAUUUUUUCAUUAAAAACAUAAAAAAAUGAAUAUUAUAAUAUUUAUUAAAAAUAAAUUAAUAAAAAAUUCGAAAAUAAUAAAUAAAAAGUAAAAAGUGAAAUUUCGGGGGUUUCCAAAAGAGUAAGUAAAUGGGUGUGUCUUUCAUCCAAUCGCUUCAAGCGUCAUCAUUCAUCCGGCACGAAUAUCCUCUAUCUGUAACACAAAAAAUACCACACAACUAAUUACUUAAACAAAAAUAAUAUAAUGCUGAAAAAU